CCGUCGAGGAUUAGGAUCGAGUUUCUUCGAUCGUGAGGGCAAUUAUUAGCGGCCUCUAGCCCCCCAGACAGCAUCUUGAGGAGAGAGAAUCCACGCUACGAGAAGUAACAUAGUGGACAUCGCAGUUGUCCGUAGCCGAUUUGCGGGUUACGGAGUUGUUGCAAGUAGAGAAGGGGAAAUCCGAGCGGUCUCGAGUUGGGUUUCCUCCACGUGUGAAAUGGCAAUGGUAGUGAUAUCUCGUGCUAUCUCUGUCAAGGGCAAGAAGGAGAAGGAAUUUAUUUGAGGCCCUACGACGUGGUGCGGUGGCUCACGCCUGUAAUCCCAACACUUUGAGAGGCCAAGGCGGGCGGAUCAUCUGAGAUCGAGAGUUCGAGACCAGCUUGACCAACAUGGAGAAACCCCGUCUCUACUAAAAGUACAAAAUUAGCCAGGCAUGGUGGCACAUGCCUGUAAUCCCAGCUACUCGGGAGGCUGAGGCAGGAGAAUAGCUUGAGCCCAGGAGGUGGAGGUUGUGGUGAGCCAAGAUCGCACCAUUGCACAGCCUGGGCAACAAGAGCGAAACUCCAUCUCAAAAAAAUAAAUAAAAUUUUUUUUAAAAAAG
rnacentral:lncRNA from 1 species